CGAACGGGUGAGUAACACGUAGAUAAUCUGCCCUCAAGACGAGGAUAACUGUUGGAAACGAUAGCUAAUACUGGAUAGGUAUAUAGGAGGCAUCUCUUAUAUAUUAAAGGACCACUGGUAUACUUGAGGAUGAAUCUGCGGCGCAUUAGUUAGUUGGUGAGGUAAUGGCUCACCAAGACGAUGAUGCGUAGCCGGACUGAGAGGUUGAACGGCCACAUUGGGACUGAGACACGGCCCAAACUCC
rnacentral:rRNA from 1 species